GACGAACGCUGGCGGCGUGCUUAACACAUGCAAGUCGAACGGAAAGGCGCUGCUUUUGUGCGUUGCUCGAGUGGCGAACGGGUGAGUAACACGUGUGUAACAUGCCCCUGACUUUGGGAUAACUUCACGAAACUCCGGCUAAUACCGGAGAGGAGCUCCUGCUGCACGGUGGUGAUUGGUAAGUUUCGGCGGUUGUGGAUGGUCUCGCUGGUUAUGCGCUUGUUUGUGUGGUAGUGGCUUACCAAGGCUUUGACGGGUAGGCGGCAUUAGAGGGGGAACGGCGACAUGGGGACUGAGAUACGGCCCAGACUCGUACGGGAGGCAGCAGGGGGGAAUAUUGCACAAUGGGCGGAAGCCUGAUGCAGCAACGUCGCGUGCGGGAUGACGGCCUUCGGGUUGUAAACCGCUUUCGCCUGUGACGAAGCGUGAGUGACGGUAAUGGGUAAAGAAGCACCGGCUAACUACGUG
rnacentral:rRNA from 1 species